rnacentral:rRNA from 1 species
UACGUAGGGUGCGAGCGUUAAUCGGAAUUACCGGACGUAAAGCGUGCGUAGGCGGUUGUACAAGCUCGAUGUGAAAGCCCCGGGCUUAACCUGGAAAUGGCAUUGAGGACUAUGCAACUGGAGUGCGACAGAGGGAGGUGAAAUUCCACGUGUAGCAGUGAAAUGCGUAGAGAUAUGGAGGAACACCGAUGGCGAAGGCAGCCUCCUGGGCCGACACUGACGCUGAUGCACGAAAACGUGGGGAGCAAAC